UACAGGGGGGGCGAGCGUUGUUCGGAAUUACUGGGCGUAAAAGGCUUGUAGGUGGCCACGCCAAGUCGGAUGUGAAAUCUCCCGGCUCAACUGGGAGGGGUCAUUCGAUACUGGCGGGCUCGAGGCCGGUAGGGGGAAGUGGAAUUCCCGGUGUAGUGGUGGAAUGCGUAGAUAUCGGGAGGAACACCAGUGGCGAAGGCGGCUUCCUGGACCGGUUCUGACACUGAGGAGCGAAAGCGUGGGGAGCGAUCCGG
rnacentral:rRNA from 1 species